UAGAUAGAAGCCAAAAUAGAGGUAUCUAGCUGUUAAUUAGAAGACUGUAAACUUACAUUACCUAUCUAG
rnacentral:tRNA from 1 species